ensembl:lncRNA
CUCAGGUCAUUUUUUUCCUUUACAAAUCUUCUAGAUUGCACUAUGUUAGUUGAGAAGAAGCCAGAAACAAAAAGUCAAAAUGGAAUGGUCCUUCUUUUUCAUUAUGAUCCACCCAAGGAAGUGGUCUCACUUUAAGAUAUUGGGGAGCACUCAGGAGGCUGAGGAUCACCACGAUCUCUGGGCCAACCUGGGUUACAUCGUGAGUUCAAGGCCAGUCUGAACUACAUAGCAAGACCUUGCUUCAAAAAACAAAAUACAACUGCAACAAAAGGAGGAAAAAUGCAAGAGCAUUUGUCAAAGGAGGAGUUCAUUUAAAUCUUUGGAUAUCUUCUGUUCUUCCUGGUCUUCGAAGGGUACCCUGGGCACUCCAUUGACUCCACCACCGGGCUGCUUGCCAGGGCUCAGCUGAAGAGAUGCCUUUUCAGAGACACUUUCCCCAACCACCUGUGCUCUCAACCAUGCCACAGGUGCCAUGAAGGCAUUGUCAAGGUCUGGAAAUGUCUGAAUCUUUGCCUAUUUAACUCUGCGCUG